GCUCCGGCAUCCGGCUGCCUUCAGGGGCAACCCCAGGCCCUGGAAAGGCACCAAAAGGCGGAUGUUUAAGGCCCUGGGCCUGUGGAGGCAGUGGCCCCGGCGGCGGCUCCCUACGGCGCCUCCUCUCUGGUUUCUGCUUCAGGACACGGCUGCCUGGUCCUGGCCACCACCCCUCCCUGCUGGGUGUCCAGAGACCUGGGCCCACGAUCCCCUAGCCCUGACACUGCCUCACCAGGUGCCAUCGGCAAGCUGCAUCCGCUCACCCAAGUCCAGAAGGACACGCCAUCACCUCACCACACUGCAUCCACCCACCCAAGUCCAGAAGGACACGCCAUCACCUCACCACACUGCACCCACUCACCCAAGUCCAGAAGGACACGCCAUCACCUCAC
rnacentral:lncRNA from 1 species